rnacentral:rRNA from 1 species
UGGGGAAUAUUGCACAAUGGGCGCAAGCCUGAUGCAGCCAUGCCGCGUGUAUGAAGAAGGCCUUCGGGUUGUAAAGUACUUUCAGCGGGGAGGAAGGUGUUGUGGUUAAUAACCUCAGCAAUUGACGUUACCCGCAGAAGAAGCACCGGCUAACUCCGUGCCAGCAGCCGCGGUAAUACGGAGGGUGCAAGCGUUAAUCGGAAUUACUGGGCGUAAAGCGCACGCAGGCGGUCUGUCAAGUCGGAUGUGAAAUCCCCGGGCUCAACCUGGGAACUGCAUCCAAAACUGGCAGGCUUGAGUCUUGUAGAGGGGGGUAGAAUUCCAGGUGUAGCGGUGAAAUGCGUAGAGAUCUGGAGGAAUACCGGUGGCGAAGGCGGCCCCCUGGACAAAGACUGACGCUCAGGUGCGAAAGCGUGGGGAGCAAACA